rnacentral:tRNA from 2 species
GUUGCUGUAGUGUAGUGGUUAUCACGUCAGUCUUACACACUGAAGGUCUCCAGUUCGAUCCUGGGCGGCAGCA